rnacentral:rRNA from 1 species
GGCGGCUCGAGUGGUGGCCACUAUUACUGGGCUUAAAGCGUCCGUAGCCGGGUUGUUAAGUCUCCUGGGAAAUCCAACGGCUCAACCGUUGGGCGUUCAGGGGAUACUGGCAAUCUAGGGAUCGGGGGAGGUGAGAGGUACUCUAGGGGUAGGAGUGAAAUCCUGUAAUCCUUGGGGGACCACCUGUGGCGAAGGCGUCUCACCAGAACGACUCCGACGGUGAGGGACGAAAGCUGGGGGAGCAAACCG